AACCACUGUAGUGCCUUGCGGUCGGAGGCCGAGCAGUUGCCAUACCAGGCGGUGAUUCAACCCGUCAGGAUGCUCUCGAUGGUGCAGACAUAGUCUAUUAACUAUACAAUUAUCUGCUACACAUUAACUCACAUUAACUCAGCACCAAAAUGAAAAGUUAUACAGAGGGAUCUGCUGGCAGAAAACAAGUUUUAUUAACAAAAGAUAAACAAAUACGUUUGCUUUAAAGAACUUUGUUGUUGUAGUUUUACAGAUAAUAUCCUACAGUUCUACAUAUUUUGUGAGUAGGUGGGGAGAAAUGUUUACAGUUUUAUGAGCUAAUUUCCUGCAAUUGACUUGUGCCAUGUUAAUAUGAUAGCUGAGUUAGAGUGACUAUCAAAAUCAAUGGUGGCCUCCUUGAGUGUUAGGGCCUCUGUGGCAUGUGCCUUGCAUCCCCAGUCACUAAUUUGGCCAUGAAUACUACACAUUUAGAUAGCUGGCUAGACUAACUAGUCUAAUUUACCAAUCUCAAAAAAAUCUACCAGCAUGAGCUAAUUGAGUAGCUGUCAGUAGCUAGGUUUCCAUCCAAUUGAAACAUAUGUGCAUUUUCCCACCAGUGGUAUUUCCACCAAAUGGACUUGUUGCAGAUAAAAAUCAGUGCGUGAUGAACUAGUGCACACUAAAUAUACUUUUUAGCUUACAUUUUGUAUAGAAUAAAACAGUUUCCACUGUAUGUCUGUUUGUUCAUCCAGAACUAGGUUAAAUCAGUGUCUGACAAACCAGCCUUAAAUAGUAUUUAAAAAACAUAACCUCAUUUUAGAGUAGACAAUUGGAUGCUUGUUUAUUAUUAUCCUUCUAACUUCUUGAUAAUUUUGUUGUUAUUUGUACCCUUUUGUGAUCUGUACCCUUUCGGCAAAGAUCAUGCGAUCCUGAAGGACUGUUUAGUUGGUUAACUGGUACUGGGGGACUGUUUUAUCACUGCUUUUGGGGAACUAUAGAGCUCGCCAGCUUGCAGUCCUAAAAAACGGAAAUGAGUUUCCUCUGGUUCGUUCAGCCAUUCCUUUGGGGAAAAUGAAUGGGGAAAGAAUAGGGUUUGGGGAUAAAUGCUGAAAAUAAGGUCUGAGGUUAACACAGGCUUAGCAGAUCUUAUACAUUUUGUUCUAUGAGAUAAUAUCAGUCAGUUAACAUGACCUUGAUGAAUUAGGAAGCCUUUUUUUAAAUGACAUAAAUGCUUAACAAAUCACAAAAAGUGACGUCAGCUGAUGAAGAUUAUUUCAUAGACCAACCAAGGCGGAGUUAGUGCCUACAAAAAGACACCAUUACUAUUUCUCGCUAUUUGACUAACUGACUGUACUCUAAUGCCUCCAUUCAGGGUUACAGAAUGGGGCCAUGAGGCUGGUGGGGGGGUAAGCUGUCCUCUGACGGCUGUGUGGAGUUCUACUAUAAUGGACAGUGGGGGACCGUGUGUGACGACAACUCGGACAUUAUUGAGGCACAGGUGGUGUGUUGCCAUCUCAACUAACCUGGUGCUCUUACUUCCGUGGUGGCUGGAAUAUACGGACAAGUUAGGUUGGAUCUGUAUAACUUCUCUUGUAUCCACUCAUCGCAGUUUUGAUUCAAUGAAGGCUUGAUCUGUGUCCGUUGCAUAGGUACAGAAUAUCACACCUUCCCUGUUUGUUUUUAUUGACCCAUGACCCAUCUGUAAUCUGGACACAGGCUGGACACAGGCUCUAAACUGUGAUGGGACAGGGCAAGACCUGUCCCACGGUCUCUUCAAAGGCUGGGGGGGGGGGGGGGUCACUGACUGCCAACAGACUGAGGAUGCUGGUGUGGUGUGUGAGAGAGAAUAUCAGCCGUGUCUACAACCUGGACCACAACACAGGCCUUGGUAACCACAUGGGGGGGUUGUUUGAAAGUGGACGCGACUGUGACUUUGACAUCAUGGUGCGGGUCGGGUCGCAAACAGCACUGUGGAAAACAUCUGUGUUCACAAGCUGAUCGUCACACUCGAUCCAGAGGCGUCCAUCUUGAACUUCAUUAACUUCAACCUAGACGUUAGACUCAACUGCCGCCCUCGUUUCACCAACUUCCUAAGGUAUCUUUGUACACAAGGCAAAUCAACAUCACCUCGUCCUCUGCCCAGUGCAUCCACAAGAUGGUGUCCGACUGGAGUCUGACGCAGCUCCAGGAGGCGGCAGGGAGGCUCUUCACCUGACUGCUCCCAGAGGAUUCCUCCUUCCAGACCUCUGUACGAGCACUCCGUCUGUACAGGCGACCCAGUUCUGCAGGAAACCUAUCUGCGCUACCUUGCCGGGAGCUGUAAGUCGCUGAGCCAUUCCCCAGCCUGGAUUGGUCUUGGCCUGGGCACAGUAAAGGCCCUUCUGGCCCGUUCAUACGUGGUAGUGCCAGAGGAGGCCUUCUUGCUAAAAGGUUUGGAGGACUGGGUGUUGGAUCAGGGUAACUCAUCCACCCACGAAGCCCAGGUGGCCCUUUUGGAAUGCAUCCCUUUUCCCAUGAUCGCUGCUGAAAAUGUUGUCAACUUCAAAGCUAAGUCUAAACUGUACAUGGACCAACUAGAGUUGUAUGAUGCCGGCAUGUUGCAGGCUGUUCAGUUCAAUGCGCUGCCCUUCCGGAUGCUGCUUGGGAACCUCCUCCAUAAAAAAGUGGAAUACACACCCAGGAUCUACACUGGCAAGCCAUGACUCAGUGCCUCCUUCAACACCCCUGUGCACAACAGUGCUUAUUUUGCCCUGUUUAAAAAGCUAAACUGGCAUACCAGCGUGUAUAUCCACAACCAUGAAUGCUCAAACAACUAUUUCCACUGUGCAACGCUGCCAAUGGUCUCACAAACUGCCCAGAAUAACAGGGAGCUUCCCAGGAUGGCAUCUGUUACCUCCACAAGGUUGUCCUGAUGUGUGAAGGGGAGUAUAGAUUCCAUGUCCAGGAUUUCACUGUUGGCUGAGUCUAAAUCCCAGUCAACAGUAGUGUGGUCCAGGCCUACCCGUGCUACUCAGACCAGUUCUCUUACCACGUGGUGGUUCAGUCUGAGUACACCUCUGAGAUCAAGCAGAAUGAACAGGCAGUAGAGGAUGAGAAAAUAGAGUGGACAGGUUAAAAAAAUUGUGUUGAAUUCCUCUGUAUUCAAGUAUAAGAAAGCAAUUCACUUAAAAUGUUAAUUGUAUGUAAUCUUUGUUGUUAAUCCAUCCAAUCAUUUUCUGAAUGUAUCUUCCAGGAGACACAGUAUCAUUCCAAUUUCUGUGUACUUUGGAAAAUGUGGGGCAUGUUCAGAACAAUAAUAAACUUGUUUUUAAUAAUGA